GACGAACGCUGGCGGCGUGCUUAACACAUGCAAGUCGAACGGAAAGGCCUGCUUUCCCUUGUGGAUUGCGGGUACUCGAGUGGCGAACGGGUGAGUAACACGUUAGUGAUCUGCCCCCAACUUGGGUAUAAGCCUGGGAAACUGGGUCUAAUUCCCGAUAGGACUGCAGGGUGGUUCCUGUGGUGGAAAACGAUUUUCUAUUGGUUGUGGAUGAGCUCGCGGCCUAUCAGCUUGUUGGUGGGGUAAUGGCCUACCAAGGCGGCGACGGGUAGCCGGCCUGAGAGGGUGGACGGCGACAUUGGGACUGAGAUACGGCACAGACUCGUACGGGAGGCAGCAGUGGGGAAUAUUGCACAAUGGGCGGAAGCCUGAUGCAGCGACGCCGCGUGGGGGAUGACGGGCUUCGGGUUGUAAACUCCUUUCGACCGCGAGGAAGCCACCUGGUUGGAAGGGUGGUGACGGUAGUGGUAGAAGAAGCACCGGCUAACUACGUG
rnacentral:rRNA from 1 species